AUCAUUACCGAGUGAGGGCCCUCUGGGUCCAACCUCCCACCCGUGUUUAUUUUACCUUGUUGCUUCGGCGGGCCCGCCGCUUGUCGGCCGCCGGGGGGGCGCCUUUGCCCCCCGGGCCCGUGCCCGCCGGAGACCCCAACACGAACACUGUCUGAAAGCGUGCAGUCUGAGUUGAUUGAAUGCAAUCAGUUAAAACUUUCAACAAUGGAUCUCUUGGUUCCGGCAUCGAUGAAGAACGCAGCGAAAUGCGAUACGUAAUGUGAAUUGCAAAUCCAGUGAAUCAUCGAGUCUUUGGACGCACAUUGCGCCCCCUGGUAUUCCGGGGGGCAUGCCUGUCCGAGCGUCAUUGCUGCCCUCAAGCACGGCUUGUGUGUUGGGCCCCGUCCUCCGAUCCCGGGGGACGGGCCCGAAAGGCAGCGGCGGCACCGCGUCCGGUCCUCGAGCGUAUGGGGCUUUGUCACCCGCUCUGUAGGCCCGGCCGGCGCUUGCCGAUCAACCCAAAUUUUUAUCCAGGUUGACCUCGGAUCAGGUAGGGAUACCCGCUGAACUUAAGCAUAUCAAUAAGCGGAGGA
rnacentral:rRNA from 1 species